ACUGCAGAUGACAUCCGUAUUGCUGACUGUACUGUAGCAGCAGGAGGAGAUGGGUGCCAGCCUUGGAGAAUCCUGCAGGUGAAAGUGAAAGUGAAACGUGAGGCAGGUGCCAUUGCCAAUGGCAGUGCACGCCACACACAAGCAUCAGCAUCAGCAAAUUCAGCAGCAACAACCAACCAGCAACGCACGCAGCAAACAUCCACAGCAGCUGGCUCCUCCUUCCCCCACUCCAACAGUUUGGCAGCAGCAGCAGCGGCAGCUCGUUUCCUCGUCGCGUGCAUGCACAAUUGCAUAGAGUAUGCAGCUGCAGCCGCAGAGGUGAGUACUCCUGCGUCCCAUAGAAAAACUGGAUCAUAUGACAUCCUAAUACUACGAAUCUGAAUAUACAUAG
rnacentral:lncRNA from 1 species